rnacentral:rRNA from 1 species
AAAGCGUACAAGGUUUCCGUAGGUGGUUUGCCUGUCGGAUUCCCCCGCAGCGACUCUAAAGAACUGCGCCAGUCGGGCUUCACCUCAGAGCCUGGCGACGCCAUCAGUCUGGCUGGGAGCCCCCUACGCGGGGGCUACCAGCAGCUCCUUCGGGAGUCCACAGAUCAAACGAUGAGCGGCCGCAACACUGCGGUUCAGAUAUGACCGGCCCCAGCCUUCAUCGGCUGGUGACUUCUUGCGGAACCUGCGGAAGGAUCAUUA